GGGCGGAUAUAGAGUUGAUAACAUGUGCAGCGGUAAAUUCACACUUUCCUAAUCUCGAUGCAGUUCCUAAUUGAAGAGCUCCCUUUCUAAGAGCGUCUGAUUGAAGAAAAGCCCUUCGCAGAAGCUGUGGUAUAAUCUGUCUAUACCUCACUCGGUUCAGUAAGAUAUGGUUUAAUGUGUGAGGCCUCGCUUCACUAACUGAAGUCGCUUCCUCGUGAACUCCGUUAGCUAGGCGCCCCUCU
rnacentral:misc_RNA from 1 species